AACGAACGCUGGCGGCAGGCUUAACACAUGCAAGUCGAACGCAUCCUUCGGGGUGAGUGGCAGACGGGUGAGUAACACGUGGGAACGUGCCUUUUGGUUCGGAACAACACAGGGAAACUUGUGCUAAUACCGGAUAAGCCCUUCGGGGGAAAGAUUUAUCGCCAGAAGAUCGGCCCGCGUCUGAUUAGCUAGUUGGUGGGGUAAUGGCCCACCAAGGCUACGAUCAGUAGCUGGUCUGAGAGGAUGAUCAGCCACACUGGGACUGAGACACGGCCCAGACUCCUACGGGAGGCAGCAGUUAGGAAUCUUGGACAAUGGGCGCAAGCCUGAUCCAGCCAUGCCGCGUGAGUGAUGAAGGCCUUAGGGUUGUAAAGCUCUUUCAGCGGGGAAGAUAAUGACGGUACCCGCAGAAGAAGCCCCGGCUAACUUCGUGCCAGCCGCCGCAGUAACAC
rnacentral:rRNA from 1 species